rnacentral:rRNA from 2 species
UACCCGCUGAACUUAAGCAUAUCAAUAAGCGGAGGAAAAGAAACCAACAGGGAUUGCCCUAGUAACGGCGAGUGAAGCGGCAACAGCUCAAAUUUGAAAUCUGGCCUCGGCCCGAGUUGUAAUUUGCAGAGGAUGUUUCUGGCGCGGUGCCUUCCGAGUUCCCUGGAACGGGACGCCACAGAGGGUGAGAGCCCCGUAUGGUUGGACACCAAGCCUGUGUGAAACUCCUUCGACGAGUCGAGUAGUUUGGGAAUGCUGCUCUAAAUGGGAGGUAAAUCUCUUCUAAAGCUAAAUACCGGCCAGAGACCGAUAGCGCACAAGUAGAGUGAUCGAAAGAUGAAAAGCACCUUGAAAAGGGGGUUAAACAGUACGUGAAAUUGUUGAAAGGGAAGCGCUCAUGACCAGACUUGUGCCGGGCGGUUCAUCCGGGGUUCUCCCCGGUGCACUCCGCCCGGUUCAGGCCAGCAUCGGUUCUCGUCGGGGGAUAAGAACGGUAGGAACGUGGCCCUCCCUCGGGAGGGUGUUAUAGCCUGCCGUACGAUACCCUGAUGGGGACCGAGGUUCGCGCUCCGCAAGGAUGCUGGCGUAAUGGUCAUCAGCGACCCGUCUUGAAACACGGACCAAGGAGUCGUCCAUUAGAGCGAGCGUUUGGGUGUAAAACCCGCACGCGUAAUGAAAGUGAAAUUAGGUGAGAGCUUCGGCGCAUCAUCGACCGAUCCUGAUGUUCUCGGAUGGAUUUGAGUAAGAGUUUUAACGGACGGACCCGAAAGACAGUGAACUAUGCUUGUAUAGGGUGAAGCCAGAGGAAACUCUGGUGGAGGCUCGCAGCGGUUCUGACGUGCAAAUCGAUCGUCAAAUAUGAGCAUGGGGGCGAAAGACUAAUCGAACUGUCUAGUAGCUGGUUACCGCCGAA